CCCAAUAAAAACUUUCGAGUCAUUAAUGGUUUUGCUAAACGAUAGUUAACUAUAGUUAGUCAUUAAUGAAAAAUUAGCUGAUGUAUAGGAUUUUUAUUAGUUUUGUCUGCAUCCUACGUGGUAGAAUAGAUCUAUCUAAUAGUUUCUCGUGAAAAAGACUCUCACUAAAAGCUCCAGGAGUACCAUAUGAUAUACCUAAUUGCUUGGUGUCGUUAUCCAAGGUAACCUGUAUUCUAGACAGUUCUGUUAUUCCAAACAACUAAGUUCCC
rnacentral:lncRNA from 1 species